rnacentral:rRNA from 1 species
UCGGGCUAAAUGCAGUCGAGCGGAUUGAUGGGAGCUUGCUCCCUGAUAUCAGCGGCGGACGGGUGAGUAACACGUGGGUAACCUGCCUGUAAGACUGGGAUAACUCCGGGAAACCGGGGCUAAUACCGGAUAACUCAUUUCCUCGCAUGAGGAAAUGUUGAAAGAUGGCUUCUUGCUAUCACUUACAGAUGGACCCGCGGCGCAUUAGCUAGUUGGUGAGGUAACGGCUCACCAAGGCAACGAUGCGUAGCCAACCUGAGAGGGUGAUCGGCCACACUGGGACUGAAACACGGCCCAAACUCCUACGGGAGGCAGCAGUAGGGAAUCUUCCGCAAUGGACGAAAGUCUGACGGAGCAACGCCGCGUGAGUGAUGAAGGUUUUCGGAUCGUAAAACUCUGUUGUUAGGGAAAAACAAGUACCGUUCGAAUAGGGCGGUACCUUGACGGUACCUAACCAGAAAGCCACGGCUAACUACGUGCCAGCAGCCGCGGUAAUACGUAGGUGGCAAGCGUUGUCCGGAAUUAUUGGGCGUAAAGCGCGCGCAGGUGGUUUCUUAAGUCUGAUGUGAAAGCCCACGGCUCAACCGUGGAGGGUCAUUGGAAACUGGGGAACUUGAGUGCAGAAAAGGAAAGUGGAAUUCCAAGUGUAGCGGUGAAAUGCGUAGAUAUUUGGAGGAACACCAGUGGCGAAGGCGACUUUCUGGUCUGUAACUGACACUGAGGCGCGAAAGCGUGGGGAGCAAACAGGAUUAGAUACCCUGGUAGUCCACGCCGUAACGAUGAGUGCUAAGUGUUAGGGGGUUUCCGCCCCUUAGUGCUGCAGCUAACGCAUUAGCACUCCGCUGGGAGUACGGUCGCAGACUGAACUCAAGGAUUGACGGGGCCGCACAGCGUGAGCAUGUGUUUAUUCGAAGCACGC